AGUGGCGAACGGGUGAGUAACACGUGGGUGAUCUGCCCUGCAAUUUGGGAUAAGCCUGGGAAACUGGGUCUAAUACCGAAUAGGAUCAUGCUCUUCAUGGGGUGUGGUGGAAAGCUUUUGCGGUGUGGGAUGGGCCCGCGGCCUAUCAGCUUGUUGGUGGGGUAAUGGCCUACCAAGGCGACGACGGGUAGCCGGCCUGAGAGGGUGACCGGCCACACUGGGACUGAGAUACGGCCCAGACUCCUACGGGAGGCAGCAGUGGGGAAUAUUGCACAAUGGGCGCAAGCCUGAUGCAGCGACGCCGCGUGAGGGAUGACGGCCUUCGGGUUGUAAACCUCUUUCACCAGGGACGAAGCGCAAGUGACGGUACCUGGAGAAGAAGCACCGGCCAACUACGUGCCAGCAGCCGCGGUAAUACGUAGGGUGCGAGCGUUGUCCGGAAUUACUGGGCGUAAAGAGCUCGUAGGUGGUUUGUCGCGUUGUUCGUGAAAACUCACAACUCAAUGUGGGGCGUGCGGGCGAUACGGGCAGACUAGAGUACUGCAGGGGAGACUGGAAUUCCUGGUGUAGCGGUGGAAUGCGCAGAUAUCAGGAGGAACACCGGUGGCGAAGGCGGGUCUCUGGGCAGUAACUGACGCUGAGGAGCGAAAGCGUGGGGAGCGAACAGGAUUAGAUACCCUGGUAGUCCACGCCGUAAACGGUGGGUACUAGGUGUGGGUUCCUUCCUUGGGAUCCGUGCCGUAGCUAACGCAUUAAGUACCCCGCCUGGGGAGUACGGCCGCAAGGCUAAAACUCAAAGGAAUUGACGGGGGCCCGCACAAGCGGCGGAGCAUGUGGAUUAAUUCGAUGCAACGCGAAGAACCUUACCUGGGUUUGACAUGCACAGGACGCCGGCAGAGAUGUCGGUUCCCUUGUGGCCUGUGUGCAGGUGGUGCAUGGCUGUCGUCAGCUCGUGUCGUGAGAUGUUGGGUUAAGUCCCGCAACGAGCGCAACCCUUGUCCUAUGUUGCCAGCGGGUUAUGCCGGGGACUCGUAGGAGACUGCCGGGGUCAACUCGGAGGAAGGUGGGGAUGACGUCAAGUCAUCAUGCCCCUUAUGUCCAGGGCUUCACACAUGCUACAAUGGCCGGUACAAAGGGCUGCGAUGCCGUGAGGUGGAGCGAAUCCUUUCAAAGCCGGUCUCCGUUCGGAUCGGGGUCUGCAACUCGACCCCGUGAAGUCGAGUCGCUA
rnacentral:rRNA from 1 species